rnacentral:tRNA from 1 species
GGGCAUAGCUCAGUGGUAGAGCUCAUGGUUAGUUUGCACGAAGUCCUGGGUUCAAUCCCCAGUACCACCA